UUGGCCCCACCCCAAAAAGCCAGUUAAAAAUGGGUGGAAAAAGUAGUUCGCUUCUCGCUUCUGGGGGAUAUCCAGUUACAGGCCCAGGGAGGAGGGGCUGGAGAAAGCUCCCUGCUUGAGAGAGUUAUCUGACUGUUGAGCUGCUGACUGAUAGUGGUUCAAUUGCUGUUGGACGUCCGGAGGUUCCGAAUAGGAAGAAUCUGUGGGGAAAUGAGAAGAGUUGGUAACACCAACGGACAGAAGAAGCAUAAUGAUCCAAAGUCGAAAUGCAGCUUCUGUUCAACUUCACUGAAAUCACAGAAGACGCUGAAAGGCAUCAUCUCAUACUGUGAGGGAGAUGGCAAUGGUAAACCCCUCUUGUAUUCUACCAAAGACAAUCACAGGGCUCUGUGGUCACUGGGAGCUGACACCGACUCGACGGCACGCUUUCCCUUUAUCUGUACAAGAUCUGAAUGGAUGAGAGAGAGGACAAAUGCUAUAUAGCUUCUUGCACAAGUGUCAAAUUCGCUUAGAAGGGAAAUGAAUUUAAUCUAAAGAAAGUUAAAAUGAAUUUGGAAGGCACCUGGAUCCAUACUGCUCUGUCUGAAGUCUUCAAAAAUAAAAUUUGCCAUUGAUUAUUCUCUCUAGAUAUAUAUUUUAAAAAACCCUAUAAAGGGUU